UUUUUUUUUUUUUUUUUUUUUACACCCAAAAAGAAAUUAAUAAAUAAAUAAAUACCUCAGAAACUAUAAAAAAAUAAUCCGCAAUUUGGUAAAACAGACUAAUUCUUUCAGUUUGCAAGUAACUGAAUGUCUAGUAAAGAAGAGUUCUUAUCAAUAUUAAUCAUUGUGACAAAUAACCAAGAAGCUGACUUCAGGGUCCCUUCAUUUUAUGCAGUCCCACAGCAGAUGGCGUAAAACCAUUGCACUAUUA
rnacentral:misc_RNA from 1 species